rnacentral:rRNA from 1 species
UUGGUGAACCAGCGGAGGGAUCAUUACUGAGUUACCGCUCUAUAACCCUUUGUGAACAUACCUACAACUGUUGCUUCGGCGGGUAGGCCGUCCCCUGAAAAGGACGCCUCCCGGCCCGGACCGGACCCCCCGCGGGACCGGACCCGGCGCCCGCCGGAGGAUAACCAAACUCUAUUGUAACGACGUUUCUUCUGAGUGGCAUAAGCAAAAUAAUCAAAACUUUUAACAACGGAUCUCUUGGUUCUGGCAUCGAUGAAGAACGCAGCGAAAUGCGAUAAGUAAUGUGAAUUGCAGAAUUCAGUGAAUCAUCGAAUCUUUGAACGCACAUUGCGCCCGCCAGCAUUCUGGCGGGCAUGCCUGUUCGAGCGUCAUUUCAACCCUCAAGCUCUGCUUGGUGUUGGGGCUCUACGGUCGACGUAGGCCCUCAAAGGUAGUGGCGGACCCUCCCGGAGCCUCCUUUGCGUAGUAACAUUUCGUCUCGCACUGGGAUCCGGAGGGACUCUUGCCGUAAAACCCCCCAAUUUUCCAAAGGUUGACCUCGGAUCAGGUAGGAAUACCCGCUGAACUUAAGCAUAUCA